rnacentral:rRNA from 1 species
GAGCUUGCUUCGGGGUGAACAGUGGCGAACGGGUGAGUAACACGUGAGUAACCUGCCCCUGACUCUGGAAUAAGCGCUGGAAACGGCGUCUAAUACCGGAUACGACACGCCUCCGCAUGGGGAGCGUGUGGAAAGUUUUUCGGUCUGGGAUGGACUCGCGGCCUAUCAGCUUGUUGGUGAGGUAAUGGCUCACCAAGGCGAUGACGGGUAGCCGGCCUGAGAGGGCGACCGGCCACACUGGGACUGAGACACGGCCCAGACUCCUACGGGAGGCAGCAGUGGGGAAUAUUGCACAAUGGGCGAAAGCCUGAUGCAGCGACGCCGCGUGAGGGAUGACGGCCUUCGGGUUGUAAACCUCUUUCAGCAGGGAAGAAGCGAAAGUGACGGUACCUGCAGAAGAAGCACCGGCUAACUACGUGCCAGCAGCCGCGGUAAUACGUAGGGUGCGAGCGUUGUCCGGAAUUAUUGGGCGUAAAGAGCUUGUAGGCGGUUUGUCGCGUCUGCCGUGAAAAUCCGGGGCUCAACCCCGGACUUGCGGUGGGUACGGGCAGACUAGAGUGUGGUAGGGGAGACUGGAAUUCCU